AACCUCUUGCAAGUGAGCGCACAGCUGAGGAAGCAGGGGGAGAAAUGAUUUCCUCUAGACCCUCUCUUUUGCAGCUCUUCAUUAAAUUACAUCUGUGUGCUCAUUUUCUGCAGACUUUUUUAUUUCAUGCAGCAUAGGUGGGAUGGCUGUAGAUGCGCUGAAAAGUGUGGAUGAGAACCUCAGGCAGGAGCUGCUUUACUGCCACAUUCUUCCAGGGCAGAGAGGGGCUGAGGAGAAGGUACAAAUUAGGCUCCACACUAGCUCCAGACUUCGCUGCUGUCUUUCCUUAGAAGAUCCUGCUAACUUCAGCUGGAUUUUUACCUGCGAGGGCUGAAGAAAUUCCUGCAUCAUGUGGAUGAGCAGAUUAGCUGAGGAACACACACUGGUAGGAAGAUGCGGAGUAUGUAGGCACAUGUGUUCCACACUGCAAACACUCUGUGAAGAUGAGUGCUUAUCUGCCUGUAUGGAAAUUAUGGCAAGCACCAGAAUCUUAUGUCUCACUUUUCUUUACCUGUAAAACAAGAACAUCUGAUUCUUGUAGUAUUUUUCUGACUUAUUUCUAAUUUGGCCAAAAUUCAUUAAUAGACGUACCACACAAUAAUUUGGACUUCAUAUCAUAAGGCAGUCCUUUAGGUAGCGCACAGAGUGGCACAGUGCUCUGAUCCUCUGAAGGGCAGGAUAGCACUCUGCAACUGUUAUAAGUACUACAACCACUAGGCCUUUCAAUAUUCAACAGAUUUCUGUUAAACUUUCCAAAUACAGUAAUGAGACCUGACAAAAAAAUCACAAUAGCGUAGGGGAUUGCAACACAGGGAUGCAGCUUUAUGUCUCGUGGGGUCUGGGAGCUGCAGGGCCCUGGGAGUGCAUGGCUGGAGGCAACAUCUAAGCUCAAGCUGAGGCCUGUGGCACCUGCUGGUACACAGCAUCCUUCCUUCCCCUCUGGUACUGCGAUCCUUGUUUGCAGUUUACUGAUCUAAGGCUGUUUGGUUAAACAAAAGCUGUUAUACCAAUAUAUGGCUGUCCAACUGUUGUGUAAGGUCUGUUGGCAUGCUUGUGUGCUCAUGUAUAUGUAGAUGGUAUGUGUUUCUGUGUGUGAGAGACAAAGAGCUGAACAUCUCUGGAAGGCAAUUAUUUGGAAGUUCCCCAUUCUUUAUGUGAAUAAAAUCUCUAAAAAUAAAC
ensembl:lncRNA